rnacentral:lncRNA from 1 species
CAGGUUGUUAUUGUUUAGCUCAAAUUCAGGAGUAGGUAUGUUUUAGACAUAUUAACUGAAUUGGGAGCAUGUUAUUAGCUGUUAUUAAUCAUACAUGUUGGACUUGGAUAAAACAUAGGAGAAAACCAGCGUUCGGGACCUGGCAUAUGUUAAACUACCUGAUUUAGCCCUAGGGGCCGUUGUAUUUUUAUACUGUUGCAGUAUCCUCAUAGUGAGUAUCCCAGAUAGUUCAGAUUUCAGUUACACUCGUGCUGAGAUGCCGAGCCGAUUUUUACAGUAGUGUUUACAGUAUUCCGGAUUAGUGGGUGCCGUAGUGGUUGACGGCGGACCCGGAUUUGAUCGUUCCGAUAUCAGAUUGUGCCGAGGGCACGUGACUAGUGGAUGGUAGUACUGUUAGACCUGUUUUCUUGACUUUAGCCUGUGAGAGCCUUAUUGAGCUCGACAGAGAUACGCUUACAUACUCGGUUGGGUCGCGCCCACGAGUGCAGCUCCGGAGUCUGGCUUUGUGCUUUCGCGUUGAUGUCACUGAUUAGUUGCUAUUCACGGACUGUUUAGCGUGGAGGUAGCGCGGCUUAGACAGGCGGGACGAGUGCGUACACAGUCCCUAAUGAGAUUGGGUCAGAAUUAAUAGUAGACACAGUUGGAUAGUGUAGUGGCAUGUAGCUAUGGAUUUCUUUCCGGGUUACCUUUUAGCCUUGUUUUCUACUGUAGUUUUAGUGGGUGAGCCGAUAAUUUUGAGGGCGGUACCCACUGAGGACUACUUGUUUUACAGUAGUUCUUACGCCCAGUUGUUACCCUGUGUUUUGCAGAGCUUGCUGUUCCGGCUGCUGCGUCUUCAGAGGCUAAUCGAGGCAAGGGCGUCGCGAGCUAGAGCCCUACCCGAUGAAUCGCCGUGCUAGAGGAUCACCAGCUGCAGGUAGUAGUGUUUUUAUUUUGAGCUUAUGUACAUACUGAUACUAGAACUCGCUGGAGUGAGUGUUUUUUUACUUGUUAGUUUGUAUGUAUAUGAGAUUGUUCAUUCUACCUCCUUAGUUCUUUUCAGCUCUACACUACUGUUUGUAGUAUUGUAUAUUUUACAGAUACAAUUAUCGCUUCGUAUACAGGAAAAAUUUCUUUGUAUACGGCGGAUUUGUCGGCGUGCUCGGGUGUAAGGACUGAGAUUUUUGCAGUGUAGCUAAACUCUCAGUUGACGAUGUUUUUGUGUGUAAUUUAAUUACAAAAGCACUCGUCAAGUUUCGGGCGAAAACGAGUUAAAACGGAAAUUCUACGGGAUUUCUAAGUUUCACUUAAAGUGAAUAGUAACUCGAUUUUUNGAACCUGGCAUAUGUUAAACUACCUGAUUUAGCCCUAGGGGCCGUUGUAUUUUUAUACUGUUGCAGUAUCCUCAUAGUGAGUAUCCCAGAUAGUUCAGAUUUCAGUUAUGCUCGUGCUGGGAUGCCGAGCUGAUUUUUACAGUAGUGUUUACAGUAUUCCGGAUUAGUGGGUGCCGUAGUGGUUGACGGCGGACCCGGAUUUGAUCGUUCCGAUAUCAGAUUGUGCCGAGGGCACGUGACUAGUGGUUGGUAGUACUGUUAGACUUGUUUUCUUGACUUUAGCUUGUGAGAGCCCGAUUGAGCUCGAUAGAGAUACGCUUGCAUACUCGGUUGGGUCGCGCCCACGAGUACUGCUCCGGAGUCUGUCUUUGUGCUUUUGAUUUGAUGUCGCUGAUUAGUUGCUAUCCACGGACUGUUUAGCGUGGAGGUAGCGCGGCUUAGACAGGCGAGACGGGUGCAUAUACAGUCCCUAAUGAGAUUAGGUCAAAAUUGAUAGUACACACAGUUGGAUAGUGUAGUGGCAUGUAGCUGUGGAUUUCUUUCCGGGUUACCUUUUAGCCUUGUUUCCUACUGUAGUCUUAGUGGGCAAGCCGAUAAUUUUGAGGGCGGUACCCACUGAGGACUACUUGUUUUACAGUAGUUCUCACGCCCAGUUCGUACCAUGUGUUUUGCAGAGCCUGCUGUUCCGGAUGCUGCGUCUUCACAGGCUGAUCGAGGCAAGGGCGUCACCAGCUAGAGCCCUACCCAACGAAUCGCCGUGCUAGAGGAUCACCAGCUGCAGGUAGUAGUGUUUUUAUUUUGAGCUUAUGUACAUACUGAUACUAGAACUCGCUGGAGCGAGUGUUUUUGUACUUGUUAGUUUGUAUGUAUAUGAGAUUAUUCAUUCUACCUGCUUAGUUCUUUUCAGCUCUACACUACUAUUUGUAGUAUUGUAUAUGUUACAGAUACAACUAUCGCUUCGUAUACAGGAAAAAUUUCUUUGUAUACAGCGGAUUUGUCGGCGUGCCCGGGGAACGUGUAAUCCGGGACGUGACAGAUUAAAUUGGUAUCAGAGCUUAGCAUUAGGUCGUUGGGACCUAGGAGAUCUAAGUUUAGCAAACCUCAGGAAGACAAGACGCGAGAGGCGUGAUUUACUGCGAAAGUCAAUGAUUAAUUAUUGUAACUCAUCCUAAGGGGAGUGAGUGACUGGAGGAGUGCCUGUUUUGGCCAGCAAAAUUAUGUUGGCUGCAGACGACAUAAUUUCGAGGAAAGAUAGGUGCCGUCUUCUGGACUUUCGUUGAUUGGGUCGAGAGUGCUUGUGUUUAUCUGACCCUGCUUUUUUUUUUGCAGCUAUGUAUCGUCGUCGAGGCCGAUCGUCGACACGGGACCGGGCACAGUUGGCACAGAAUCGUGUGGGAUCUUCUGAGAUGCCUGAGCAGGCGGAGCCGAAUGCCCGACAGGAGCAGAGUGUUCAACCGGAGGCGAGUGCAUCCCCGGACUUGACUGCACAGUUAGCCGCCCUGACAGAGGUGACGAGGCGGCAGGGGGAGUUGUUGGAGAGGUUGUGUGAGAGGAUAGCCCCACCACAGAGUACAGUAACGGGAGUACCAGAGCAGACGGUUCCACCUCCCACGACUCCAGCCGCAGCACCUGCCGCAGCUGUACCCCCACCAGCGGCAGUUCCAGUAGCGCCAGUUGCACCUCUUAGAGGGCCGGUCCAGAUGACCGAGGCUGAGCAGGAGCGGAUGACUAAGAGGCUCGCUCGUUUUCGCCGUUUCGAUCCGCCGACCUUUGAUGGCCGAUGUUCAGAGGAGUGGGUCGUCGAGGGCUGGGUUAGUGCGAUGGAGAAGCUGUUUGAGGAUUUAUNGAGUGGGUCGUCGAGGGCUGGGUUAGUGCGAUGGAGAAGCUGUUUGAGGAUUUAUAUGUUCCGGAGAGAGAGCAGGUAUCUUAUGGAGUUCACUGUUUGGCUGGCGACGCUCACGCCUGGUAGAAGAGGGUGAGGCGAGACUACGGAUUGGUAGCUUUGCAGAUGAGAUGGGACGAGUUCUGUGGAAUGCUGUAUGGGAUGUAUUUUUCUAACAGUGUAAAACAGAAGCUCGAGGAGGAUUUGAAGAGGAUCCAGCAGGGGGAUCGAUCGGUACAGGAGUACAUUCGGGAGUUCACUCAACUCCUGAACUGUGUGCCUUCUGUGGCUAGAGACGAGGCACACAGGGUGUACCUCUUUGAGCAGGGUUUGCGAUCGGAGAUUUUCAGGCUCGUGCAGGCGCAGAGGUUGAGGACCCUAGAUGCGUCCAUGGAGCUGGCACUUUGGGUUGAGCGGGGUGAUGUAUCCAUUCGGGAGAGGACUCAGGCAGCGGGACAGAGUCAGGAGAGGAAGUGUCCAGCUCCAGACGAUGGCAGACAGUCGAGCAGCCGGCGUCCACCGAGACCUCCACGAUCGCGUUCUCAAGGUCGUGGGUCCUCGGGGCGUCAGCGUUCUGGGGGAUUCCGGCAGCAGAGGCAGUCACAGAGGUUACCACCGUGUGUGAUUUGUGGGGGACCACACUGGGCCCGACAGUGCGAGCAGUGUGGGAGUCGGUGUUUUGGAUGUGGACAGCCAGGGCACAUGAGGUCAGCUUGUCCCCGAGCAGUAUCACCAGCGCCAUCGACUGCUUCAGCAUCAUCAGCACCUCAGCAGUCUUUCGGAGCACCGCAGAGCUACCUCCAGGAGGACAGGGCAUCUGCGCCGCGUCAGGGUGAGCGGCGACAGCAGGCUCCGAGUGGUAUGGUCUAUGCAGCCCAGGUGGAGGACUCUACAGCGGCCGACCGAGUGGUGGCAUGUAUCACUUUCAUUUCUGGCAUUAGAGUUCGUACUCUCUUUGAUACCGGUGCAUCUCAUUCGUUUGUUAGCGGAGCAUUUGCAUUAUUGUAUGGUCUAGAGUUAGGAGCCUUGUCUCAGGCACGAGAGGUGUAGAUCCCAGACCAUGUUUUACAGGUUGUCGAGUGUUGUUGGUCGUGUCCGGUGCAGUUGGAUUUGUGGAUCAUGCCCGCAGACUUGUUGGUUUUAGGGCAGCUGCAGGACUUCGAUGUUGUGCUCGGUAUGGAUUGGUUGGCCCGGUACUUUGCUACGAUUGAUUGUGGAGCGAGGACAGUGACGUUCCGUGAGCCAGGCCAGGAGGAGUUUAAUUUUAGGGGCUGCAGGAGCACGUUGUUUGCUACUUGAAUUUCUUCGACGAGGGCUCGACAGCUGAUGAGCAGAAGAUGCGUCGCGUUUCUGGCGACGGUAGUAGAGGUACCUACGGCGGCGCCGGGACUCGAGGAUAUUCCUGUAGUUCGCGAGUUCCCGAAUGUGUUUCCCCCUGAGUUGACGACGAUGCCGCCGGAGAGGGAGAUUGAGUUCGUGAUUGAUGUAGUUCCUGGAACUGCACCAAUCUCUAAGGUAUCUUAUUAGAUGGCGCCGGCAGAGCUGAGAGAGCUAAGGGCGCAGCUUCAGGAUCUGAUGGACAAGGGGUAUGUGAGACCCAGUGUGUCGCCUUGGGGAGCGUCGGUGUUAUUUGUAAAGAAGAAUGAUGGUUCGCUCAGGUUAUGUGUGGAUUACCGGGGGCUAAAUAAAGUGACCAUCAAGAACAAGUAUCCACUGCCGCGCAUUGAUGAUUUAUUUGAUCAGUUGCAGGGAUCCUUCGUCUUCUCGAAGAUUGAUCUUCAGUCCGGUUACCACCAGCUGAAGGUGAGGGUCGAGGAUGUUUCCAAGACGGCUUUUCAGACUCGGUACGGGCAUUAUGAGUUUACGGUCAUGCCUUUUGGAUUGACGAAUGCCCCUGCCGCAUUCAUGGAUUUGAUGAACAGGGUGUUCAAGCCGUUCUUGGAUAGAUUUGUAGUAAUCUUCAUCGAUGACAUUCUAAUUUACUCCCGUAGUGAUGCUGAGCAUGAGGAGCACUUGAGGAUUGUGCUACAGCUUCUGCGAGAGAAGAAGCUAUAUGCCAAGUUAAAAAAGUGCGAGUUUUGGUUGCGGGAAGUUGCUUUCUUGUGCCACGUGAUUUCUGAAGAGGGAGUGGCAGUAGACCCGAAGAAUAUUGAUGCUAUUCGGGAUUGGCCCAGACCGACGAUGGUGACUGAGUUGCGGAGUUUUCUGGGACUAGCAGGAUAUUACCGUCGGUUUGUGGAGGGCUUUGCGAAGCUUUCCACACCCCUUACCAGGUUAACACGAAAGGAGAUUCGGUUUGUUUGGAGUGAGGACUGCCAAAGGAGCUUCGACGAGUUGAGACAGAGAUUGAUGACAGCUCCUAUCCUUGCCCUUCCUGUGAUGGGGGAAGGAUUUGUGAUCUAUAGUGAUGCAUCGCACAACGGAUUGGGUUGUGUGCUGAUACAGCAUGGUAGGGUGAUUGCUUAUGCUUCACGGCAGUUAAAGGAUUAUGAGAAGAAUUACCCUACGUAUGAUUUGGAGCUUGCAGCGGUAGUCUUUGCUUUAAAGUUGUGGUGGCAUUAUUUGUACGGCGAGCACUGCGAGGUUUUCACCGAUCAUAAAAGUCUCAAGUAUCUGUUCACUCAAAAAGAAUUGAAUCUGAGGACUAUGACAUUAGUAUUCAGUAUCAUCCCGGCAGGGCGAAUGUAGUGGCAAAUGCGUUGAGCAGGAGGGCAGCGCAGAGCUUGAGCUUGUUGAUCACUCAGCAGAGACCGCUACUUGAGGAGCUAUAGCGGCUGAGGCUUGAGGUGGUGUCCCCUGGGUCUACUGUAAGACUGAUAUCUCUAGUCUUGCAGCCCACUCUGUAGGAUAAGAUCCGGGAGAAACAUAGUGGAGAUCCGCAUUUGUUGAGGAUUCGAGAGCAGUUAAUUAGGGGACAGGCCGAGGGUUUUGCUUUGGACAGUUCAGGAGUACUGCGGUAUAUGGACCGACUGUGUGUGCCUGUGGAUUCAGAGAUCCGAGAGGACAUCUUGAGGGAGGCUCAUUGUACACCUUAUACGGUUCACUCUGGGGGAACCAAGAUGUAUAAGAAUUUGAAGGCACAGUUUUGGUGGAAUGGGAUGAAGAGAGACAUUGGCAGAUUUGUAGCUCAGUGUCUGACUUGUUAACAGGUAAAGGCCGAGCAUCAGAUACCUGCUGGCAAGCCUCAGAGUCUGUCAGUGCCCGAGUAGAAAUGGGAACAGAUCACGAUGGAUUUCGUUGUGGGGUUGCCUAGAGCACAGGGUGGCUUCGAUGUGAUUUGGGUAAUAGUGGACAGACUGACCAAGUCUGCUCAUUUCCUAUCAGUUCAGACCAUCUGGUCCAGAGAGAGACUCGCGCUGCUUUACUUGGAUGAGAUCGUCAGGCUACAUGGUGUGCCAGUAUCGAUUGUAUCAGACCGAGACCCGAGGUUUGUGUCGCAUUUCUGGAGGAGUUUACAGACAGCUUUGGGGACUCAGUUUUAUUUUAGCACAGCAUUUCAUCCACAGACGGAUGGUCAGUCGGAGCGGACCAUUCAGACUCUAGAGGACAUGCUAAGGGCGUGCGUCCUGGACUUCGGAGGAGGGUGGUAUUGACACUUGAGACUGGCAGAGUUUGCGUAUAAAAACAGCUAUCAAACGAGCAUUCAGAUGGCUCCGUUUGAGGCAUUGUAUGGACGCAGGUGUCGAUCCCCGUUGUUUUAGAGUGAUGUGGGUGAGAGGGAGACACUUGGGCCUGAGAUUUUGCUAGAGGCUGAGGAAAAGGUGAGAGUUGUUCGACGACACCUUUUGACAGCCCAGAAUCGCCAGAGGAGCUACGCCGAUACCAGGAGACGAGAAUUAGAGUUCCAGGUUGGAGAUCAUGUUUUUCUUAAAGUCUCGCCGUCCAGAGGGAUUCGCCGAUUUGGAGUGCGCGGAAAACUCAGUCCACGUUUCGUUGGCCCUUUUGAGGUAUUGGAGCGAGUUGGACCAGUUGCUUACCGGAUUGCUCUACCACUCCAACUAGCUGGGAUUCAUGAUGUGUUCCACGUCUCGGCGCUGAAGAGAUAUGUUUUCGAUCCUUCUCACGUGAUUGACUUCACUCCACUAGAGAUUGGCGAGGAUUUGAGAUACGAGGAGCGACCGGUGCGGAUUCUUGCUCUCGAGACGAAGGAAUUGCGCAACCGGGUCAUCCCGUAUAUGAAAGUGCAGUGGAGCAAUCACGAGAAGCGGGAUGCGACUUGGGAGCCUGAGACAGUGAUGAGGGAGUCCUACCCCGACCUGUUCGUUGCCCCGUCUUGAGGUAUGUUUUAAGUUUCGAGGACAAAACUUUUUGUAGUGGGGGAGGAUGUAGUAUCCUUAUUUUUUUUCUUUUCUUUUUUUUUCUUUUUAUUUUUUUGAGUUGGUAAGCUAGCUGGGGAUAAGGAUGCCGCGUGCACCUUACCCCCAAGCAUGCUUAUCAAUUUAAUACCUGUGCAUUGCAAUUCCUAUAUAUAUAGUUCUUGAGCCGUACGUAGAGGAGGAGCUCGAGUGGUGUGGAGUUUCGUCGACGUCGCGUCGCGGUGCCGUUCGAGCGUGUGUUCGUCGUUGUAGCAUCGCGAGGGGGGCCGGGCGAGGGUCCGAUUCCGCCGUUUUCGUUGUCGCGCCAGAUUGUGAUUAGCGUUUGAGGUGGGUUUAUCAUCGGAAUCCUACUCAUAUACUAUUGUUGGUCGACAAGCAUCAUUAAUAUUACAGGUUGUUAUUGUUUAGCUCAAAUUCAGGAGUAGGUAUGUUUUAGACAUAUUAACUGAAUUGGGAGCAUGUUAUUAGCUGUUAUUAAUCAUACAUGUUGGACUUGGAUAAAACAAAGGAGAAAACCAGCGUUCGGGACCUGGCAUAUGUUAAACUACCUGAUUUAGCCCUAGGGGCCGUUGUAUUUUUAUACUGUUGCAGUAUCCUCAUAGUGAGUAUCCCGGGUAGUUCAGAUUUCAGUUACGCUCGUGCUGGGAUGCCGAGCCGAUUUUUACAGUAGUGUUUACAGUAUUCCGGAUUAGUGGGUGCCGUAGUGGUUGACGGCGGACCCGGAUUUGAUCGUUCCGAUAUCAGAUUGUGCCGAGGGCACGUGACUAGUGGUUGGUAGUACUGUUAGACCUGUUUUCUUGACUUUAGCCUGUGAGAGCCUGAUUGAGCUCGACAGAGAUACGCUUGCAUACUCGGUUGGGUCGCGCCCACGAGUACUGCUCCGA